GCCCCUUUAAAGAUUCCAGCUGGUGCUCAGGUCAACAGAGCACUUAGCAGCACUCAGCUGGUCAGGAUCAACGCUUCCGUCAGGGUUCGAAGCCAUGGCCAGCAAGGGCAUGAAGGACAUGAAGCAGCAGGCGGAAGAUGGUGCCUCACGGGCGGGUCAAGUGGUGGAUCGCGUCGCUGAGGGAGGACAGAAAGACACGGACAAGUCCACCAAGGAGCCGAUCGACAAGGAUGCCAACCAGGGAUCUGACAAAGCGGGCAAAAAUCUCAGCCACCAGAAGUGACACGAGACAGAUCCCAGCCCCCCCCCCCCCAGAUGCCCUUUGGCAGAACACUGGUCCUGAGCUGUGGCAGCAGCUACCGUUGGUCUGCCCUUAAAUAAAGCGCAUGUACGUCGUC